rnacentral:misc_RNA from 1 species
UCUCCGUAGGUGAACCUGCGGAGGGAUCAUUACAGAGUUCAUGCCCUCACGGGUAGACCUCCCACCCUGUGUUAUUAUACUUUGUUGCUUUGGCAGGCCGCCCGCGUGGGCUACCGGCUCCAGCUGGUAAGUGCCUGCCAGAGGACCCCAAACUCUGAACAUUUUAUUGUCUGAGUACUAUAUAAUAGUUUAAAACUUUCAACAACGGAUCUCUUGGUUCUG